UGGGCAUCUUUGCUCGAGCAUCUCCAAGCAUGAAUAUGGUGAACUUCACUUCUGGAUGCAAGAUUUUUUAUAUUUGGUUGUCUUUUGAUAACUAUACAAGUGAGAGAUAUUGUUCUUGCGGUUUUAAAUCACACAAGCGACUAAACUUAAGUGUAAUUUGAUUGGCUUUGUAUGUCAUCGUAAGUUCGUCAUUGUAAUCUAUGUUGCAAAUGCAGCUUUUGUUGGAUUUAUAGAAGAAAGACAGCUCUGGAGUUUUUCUAUAUAGCGGC
rnacentral:misc_RNA from 1 species